GAAUGUGAAUAUUCAGUGGCAGCCAAUGUAAAUUUGUUUGUUUAUUAAUCAUCAGACUUAUAAUAUACAUAUAUACAAAUCAAUUAGGCUAAGAACGUAUUACAUCUAUUUGUUUCACUGUAUGCUCUUAUAAACAUAGAAACAAAAGUGUACAUAUAUACACCUGAGAUAAAACAUAAGCAAAUUGAAAAAGGGUGCCUACAGUGUGGUUAAAGGCGCUUCUCGGAAUCCUUUGCUCUCGUUCGUAGUCUCUCUUGCUCCUUGGAAUCUUGAAAGUUGAAGAAGGGGUCAUCAUACAGCUCUUGACUGGAUUUUCUCCUCACUACCAUGAAUUAAAACAAAAAACUUGAAUAAGUGAAACAAAUUUAUAUGUCAUAGGCUCAUGCAUUUUUGAACCAAAUAUCUAAUUAAUCCAUCCUUCCACAAAGAGAAUACAAAGAACUGAAAAUACAAUUGAAGACUGAAAAUACAAAGAGAUUUCGGCUUAGCCAAUGCUUAUUGAUAGAAUAGAUGGAGAACUUGGAAUGCAAGGUGGGAAAACUCCUUCCUUCAUAUAUGCAGAAAUUUUGCUUAAGUAUCCCGUUAAGGUUUAUAGGUUUUGAAGAUUUGUAAUUAAAGAGUUGCAGUUGCAGUGGUCGUUGGUUUGAGAGAGCGUUAAGCAAAUCCAUUAGCGAGUCGGAGAAAAAGCAUACUUUUCUAGUCUAUUGUAUAAGCAUUUAAGGUGGUCGUUGAGAUAAAUUAGAAAGAGCAUAUUUUUCUGAUUCUAUUUUGCGGUGGUCGUUGGGUUGAGAGAGCAUUAAGCAAAUCCAUUAUUUAUUUUGUUGUUGAUUAAUAUAUUUGGUUAAAAAAAAGUUGGUAUUAUAGGCAAGUAAGCAGUUAAGCUAUCAGUGUCACAUUUGAGUGAAGUAAUAUCGUCUGAUUCAGUAUCUAAUGGCAUAUGAGGGAAGUAUAUAGAUGUACCUGAACAACUAUUAUGCUAUAUCUUUGACCAUUUUCGAUCAAAUGAAAGAGAUUGAUGACAGGAUAAUACCUCUCCUCACCCCAUUCCCUUGAAAAAAAAAACACCAAAUCCGAUAUAUUAGACACCGAAGAUUAAAAACUUAUUUUUGAGUUCACAUCCACUAUAGCUCCUUUUCAACUUAUUUGUAAAAAACUUAUAAUGGAAAGUUCCAACAAUUACACGCUUUUUAAGAUGUUUAUUAUUACUAACCACACUAAACAGAAAGUAAUCAAGUAGAUAGGAUGUGGAAUUUGUACCUCAAAUUAAUUGAGAACCUCAAUGCUUUCAACUCUCUUGGAUGAGCUUGCAUAUUUGGCAUCUUUUGUAAGGUUUUAUUUGCUUAGGUGGUCUACAGUCUACACUAAUGGUUUAGGUCUCAUCCAAUGCAUUUGAAAACUACUGUUCAAUUGCGUCAUUUCUCAGAUCAAGAGCAAUCAUAAUUGGCUAGAAAUGACCCACAAAACAAAUCUUGAAUAAAAUCAAUUAAACAAUCCACAAUAAAAGGUAAUCAAAGUCUUUCAAACCUUAAUCAUCUUAACCUACUUCAGAGCGGAGGAAUAGUGGAAAACUCAUACUAAUUAAAAGCCAAAAACAUUCUUUCACAAAUUGACAAAUCCUUGGCGUAAUUUUUUUUUGCCUACUAGUUAGUCAUUGGUUUAGGAGCGGAAGGUACCUGACAAAAGGAGCAUUAGCAACAUCAGCGCUAAGAGAGAGGGAGUCUCAGUUUUGCAAGAUCCCAGGUUGUAUUGACAAUUAUCCUGAUUCCUGAGUCAUUAAAAUUAGUAACAUGCUCCAUACAUACAUCAGAGGAGUACAUUAUAAAUCUGUUAGAACCUAUUAUAAGAAAAUACAUAUGCUGGAGGAAGGGCUUGAACCUUCGUCCUCGUGGUUUAAAAGCCAACCAACUGAGC
rnacentral:lncRNA from 1 species